CGAGUCGGUCGGGCGGCCGCGGCGCAGGGAACCGGUACCGGAUGGUGCCAGGCCCUGGAUCGAGGAAAGUCCGGACUCCACAGAGCAGGGCGGUUGUUAACGGCAACCCGAGGUGACUCGCGGGACAGUGCCACAGAAAGCAAACCGCCUGCCGGUACGGCAGGUAAGGGUGAAAGGGUGCGGUAAGAGCGCACCAGCGCCCCGGGUGACCGGGGCGGCUAGGUAAACCCCGCCCGGAGCAAGGUUGAAGGUCGCACCGCGUGCGGUGCGGCUGCGCAGGUGUUCGAGGGCUGCUCGCCCGAGCCUGCGGGUGAACCGCUCGAGGUACCCGGCGACGGUGUGCCCAGAUGGAUGGUCGCCACCCCGUUUCGGCGGGGGACAGGAUCCGGCUUACAGGCCGGCUCGUUCG
rnacentral:RNase_P_RNA from 1 species